rnacentral:rRNA from 1 species
CAGUCGCCGCGGGAAUACGUAGGUGGCAAGCGUUGUCCGGAAUUAUUGGGCGUAAAGGGCUCGCAGGCGGUUUCUUAAGUCUGAUGUGAAAGCCCACGGCUCAACCGUGGAGGGUCAUUGGAAACUGGGAGACUUGAGUGCAGAAGAGGAGAGCGGAAUUCCAUGUGUAGCGGUGAAAUGCGUAGAUAUAUGGAGGAACACCAAUGGCGAAGGCGGCUCUCUGGUCUGUAACUGACGCUGAGGCUCGAAAGCGUGGGGAGCAAACAGGAUUAGAUACCCCCGUAGUCCCUGUCUCUUAUAC